CUACGGGUGGCAGCAGUGAGGAAUAUUGCGCAAUGGGGGAAACCCUGACGCAGCGACGCCGCGUGGAUGAUGAAGGCCUUCGGGUCGUAAAAUCCUGUCAGAAGGAAAGAAGUGUAUGGUAGCUAAUAUCUGCCAUACUUGACGGUACCUUCAAAGGAAGCACCGGCUAACUCCGUGCCAGGAGCCGCGGUAAUACGGAGGGUGCAAGCGUUGUUCGGAAUUACUGGGCGUAAAGCGCGCGUAGGCGGUUUUAUAAGUCAGAUGUGAAAGUCCACGGCUCAACCAUGGAAGUGCAUUUGAAACUGUAAGACUUGAGUAUUGGAGGGGGUAGUGGAAUUCCCGGUGUAGAGGUGAAAUUCGUAGAUAUCGGGAGGAAUACCGGUGGCGAAGGCGACUAUCUGGCCAAAUACUGACGCUGAGGUGCGAAAGCGUGGGGAGCAAACAGGAUUAGAUACCCGAGUAGUC
rnacentral:rRNA from 1 species